rnacentral:sRNA from 1 species
UAGCACCGUGGUCUUACGUCUAGGGCCU